AAGCUCUCCAAAUAAGCAUGGCACGAUUUGUUAUUAAUUGCCAGAGGACUUUUUCGGAAUGCACAAGACUAGCUUUGUCGGACAAUGUGGAGACAGACUCUGGGCCGAUUAUUACAAGGAUGGAGACGAUGCAGAGAAGUAUUAGUUGGGCAAGAGGGCGAUUGAUUGAGCCUGACUUGGCAGAUGAAAUGCAGGAUAUCAUUUCCGAGUUUCUUCAAGAGUUGAGAACACUCACUCAGCAGCAAGUUGGCCAAGGCUACCGGGC